rnacentral:misc_RNA from 1 species
GAAUUAAAAAAGGGGCAAUCCUGAGCCAAAUCCGUGUUUUGAGAAAACAAGCGGUUCUCGAACUAGAACCCAAAGGAAAAGGAUAGGUGCAGAGACUCAAUGGAAGCUGUUCUAACGAAUCGAGUUAAUUACGUUGUGUUGCUAGCGGAACUCCCUUCUAAAUUAGGGAAAGAAGGGCUUUCGAAAUCUAAUACACACGUAUAGAUACUGGCAUAGCAAACGAUUAAUCACAGAACUCAUAUCAUAAUAUAGGUUCUUUAAUUCUUUUUAAAAAUGAAAAUAGGAAUGAUUAUGAAAUAGAAAAUUCAUAAUUUUUUUAGAAUUGUUGUGAAUCCAUUCCAAUCGAAUAUUGAGUAAUCAAAUCCUUCAAUUCAUAGUUUUCGAAAUCUUUUAAAAAGUGGAUUAAUCGGACGAGGAUAAAGAGAGAGUCCCAUUCUACAUGUCAAUACUGACAACAAUGAAAUUUCUAGUAAAAGGAAAAUCCGUCGACUUUCUAAGUCGUGAGGGUUCAAGUCCCUCUAUCCCCAAACCCUCUUUUAUUCCCUAACUCUAGUAUUUAUCCUGUUUUUUUUAUUAAUAGGUUUAAGAUUCAUUAGCUUUAUCAUUCUGCUCUUUCACAAAGGAGUGCCAAGAGAACUCAAUGGAUCUUAUGUUAUUCAUUGAAUACAUUUCUUUUUUAUUAUAGUAUCGGCAAGGAAUGUUGAUUAUUAACUCGAUAUUUAAAUAUUAUUAAAUAGGCUUUCUUUGUACAAUGCAUAGGACUGCCCCCUCCCCAUUUCCAAAUUUUGGAUUUGGAAUACUUUAUUGAUUUUUUAGCCCCUUUAAUUGACAUAGAUACAAAUACUCUACUAGGAUGAUGCACAAGAAA